CAGUUUAGCCCAUGUCUCCCUCCAGGUGGGCAAUCAGCACCAUCAUGACAACUUGCCCCACCGCCCCAGCACCUCCAGAUGUGACAGCUCAGACAACACAGACUCCAUUGCUACGGAGAAAAAGCCGCCUGCAGUGAAAGGCAGAACCCAGCCGCCACCUGUACCACUGCGCUUCACUGCCUACUGUCCCUCCUUGCGUUAGGAGGGCACAGGCUGUGCCUGCCAGUGUGCCUAUUGCCAAACUGGACCAGGAUGCACUUCAUGUAGCAGGACAGUCACAUGCGCAGGAUCCCAGCUCCUGAUCCCCUUGAAAUGAAGCGCCAAUGGCCAGACCAUCCAGCAAGUUGUGUGCCAGGCAGGAACUGGAAAGCUGGAAAGAAUGAAUAAACUGGUCGUUGUAUUUCUCUGACAUGAAGGAAGCCACUGCAGCAUUCUUUAAGAGCAUCAGGGGGCCCAGACUGGUUACACAAGUGUGUUCAAUCUGUGAACAUUUUUCAAGCUGCAACACACAUUGUACUUCAAUGAAAAAAGCUUUACUUAAAAAAAUCCUACCCAUUCUUCCAGGUUCUUACAAAAUAUUCCCUCAUUAACAUCCACAAAGUCCCUGGGAUAUGUGUAACUGAAGGCAAUCUACCGUCUCUACGACCCCACAGCACUUUGUGGGUCCUCUUAUCACUUAGCCUCACCUGGAAACAUCUGUAUGGAAAGAACGAGAGCUUUGGAGACCUGGGUACCAGAGCCAGCCACUUCUCAGAUGGGUGGCCAUGAGCAAGUCCCCCACAGCUGUAUGGUUCUUAGCGACAAGCAGCAGGAAGUGACUGCUGAUUUAAGCAGAAAAGGGAACCAGGUAGUUGCUGGAAGCUCCAGAAGGCCAGAACCAGGCUCAGAGGUCUGCUGCCAGGUAUGAUGCAGAAAAUCAUACUGAAGAACUGGUUGGGUCCAGACACCAUGGCUGCUUUGUCAGGCAUAGGUCACAUGGCCAACUCCAUAGCCACUGGGUCUGGACUCAAGAAUGACCCCAAAACUACUGUUAGAACCCCUGAUGUCACUGCCUCUGGAAAUGGAGGAUGCCAACACACCUGCCACCAGAGCAGAUUCUGUACAGUUCCCAUCCCACGAUGUCAUCAGCUUCUGGAUUCAAAGUCCGUGGCAGGAGUAUCUGAUUGGCAGAGCCCACGUCAGGCACCCUCACCCUAGCUGCAAGAGACUCUGGGAACAUGAGUGUCUGGCCUUUCUUGCUUUUAUAGCAGGAGAUAGUUCUGUCUCUUCAAGUAGAGGACUCAAACAGGAGAAUGGUCACCAAAAGAAUGACAAAUGUCCAUGGUGUCACCUAAGGACAAGUUAUCUCCCUGCACCUGUUUCCUCAUCCAAAAAAUAGGAAUAAUGAUGGCUCCCAUGCAUGGGAGUUGUAAUGGUUAAAGGAGCUGGGGGGAUAAAGGGCCCAUCAGAUGCCCAGCACACAGUAGGAGCUUAGUUAAG
ensembl:lncRNA